CCAAAAGGAGAAGAAUCAGACUGCUUCAGUAUAUCGUAUCAUCAAAGGUCCUCUCUCAGAAGCUAAGGGUCAUGAGCAGCAAUGGUUCAGAGCACAAGGUCUGAAGACAAACUGCACGCCAACACUUACUAGUUCUGGGACCUUGGUCAAGACUACAUUUUCGUGUCUCCGCUUCCAUAAACACAGAACGACAGUACGGUGUUUCCUCGUGCAGGUCAGUCCAUAAGCGGUGGUGCAUGUGGAUGCAGGAAACAGACUGUCCUUGAAUGAUCACCAGAGACAUAAGUCAAGUCAGACAUCGAGGAAGCCAGGAAACUUAUCAGUCUCUCUUCCAAAGUGAAUGAACCGCUCUGGAUUCCCAUCAGCAAAUAGUGAGAGCAUAUGUUGUGCAGCCCCCUCGCUGGCAUUGUUAAAUCAGCAUUUUGAUUUCAGCUCCUCCUCCAGGAAGCAGCCCCACGUGCUUCAAAGUCGCUACGAUCUUAAGCCACCAGAAAGAGAAAAGAGGAGCUUGAACCCAGGCUGCAGGGGAAAGUAUUCUCGGGUGCGUCCCCAUGUAUCCUUUGGUUCAUGGCUUGCACAUGACCUGGAUCCCAUCUAUGCCUCCCAGCUUUCCUUGGCUGACACAAAUGGCCCUCAGAGCCUCUGUGGCAAGCUGUCUUCUCACAGCCUUUCCUGUCAGGUCUAGAGAGCAGAUCUAGCGGGAGCAAUUCAUCUGAUAGUUUUCUAACACACGUGUGAACGUAAUUGGAUGCAGAUUGCUCCACUGCUGUGAUUGUAUUGUCACCCGUGAUUCUGACCCUGAAAUCAUUCUCCCACGGACUAAGUUGACAAUCCUGAUUAAAUGCCCGAGCCAUGUU